rnacentral:rRNA from 1 species
CACGUAGGGUGCAAGCGUUGUCCGGAUUCAUUGGGCGUAAAGGGCUAGUAGGCGGCUUAGCAAGUCGGGUGUGAAAUUUCCAGGCUUAACCUGGAACCGCCAUCCGAGACUGCUAUGGCUAGAGUCCGGUAGGGGACCACGGAAUUCCUGGUGUAGCGGUGAAAUGCGCAGAUAUCAGGAGGAACACCGAUGGCGAAGGCAGUGGUCUGGGCCGGCACUGACGCUGAAUAGCGAAAGCGUGGGUAGCGAACAGG